rnacentral:rRNA from 1 species
GUUUCAGCCGCCGCGGUAAUACGUAGGGUGCGAGCGUUAUCCGGAAUUAUUGGGCGUAAAGAGCUCGUAGGCGGUUUGUCGCGUCUGUCGUGAAAGUCCGGGGCUUAACCCCGGAUCUGCGGUGGGUACGGGCAGACUAGAGUGCAGUAGGGGAGACUGGAAUUCCUGGUGUAGCGGUGGAAUGCGCAGAUAUCAGGAGGAACACCGAUGGCGAAGGCAGGUCUCUGGGCUGUAACUGACGCUGAGGAGCGAAAGCAUGGGGAGCGAACAGGAUUAGAUACCCUGGUAGUCCAUGCCGUAAACGUUGGGCACUAGGUGUGGGGACCAUUCCACGGUUUCCGCGCCGCAGCUAACGCAUUAAGUGCCCCGCCUGGGGAGUACGGCCGCAAGGCUAAAACUCAAAGGAAUUGACGGGGGCCCGCACAAGCGGCGGAGCAUGCGGAUUAAUUCGAUGCAACGCGAAGAACCUUACCAAGGCUUGACAUGUUCUCGAUCGCCGUAGAGAUACGGUUUCCCCUUUGGGGUGGGUUCACAGGUGGUGCAUGGUUGUCGUCAGCUCGUGUCGUGAGAUGUUGGGUUAAGUCCCGCAACGAGCGCAACCCUCGUUCCAUGUUGCCAGCACGUCGUGGUGGGGACUCAUGGGAGACUGCCGGGGUCAACUCGGAGGAAGGUGAGGACGACGUCAAAUCAUCAUGCCCCUUAUGUCUUGGGCUUCACGCAUGCUACAAUGGCCGGUACAAUGGGUUGCGAUACUGUGAGGUGGAGCUAAUCCCAAAAAGCCGGUCUCAGUUCGGAUUGGGGUCUGCAACUCGACCCCAUGAAGUCGGAGUCGCUAGUAAUCGCAGAUCAGCAACGCUGCGGUGAAUACGUUCCCGGGCCUUGUACACACCGCCCGUCAAAC